CCUACGGGUGGCAGCAGUGAGGAAUAUUGGUCAAUGGACGAGAGUCUGAACCAGCCAAGUCGCGUGAAGGAUGACUGCCCUAUGGGUUGUAAACUUCUUUUAUAAAGGAAUAAAACGAGGCACGUGUGCCUUUUUGCAUGUACUUUAUGAAUAAGGAUAGGCUAACUCCGUCCCAGCAGCCGCGGUAAUAAGGAGGAUCCUAGCGGUAUCCGGAUUUAUUGGGUUUAAAGGGAGCGUAGAUUGGUUGUUAAGUCAGUUGUGAAAGUUUGCGGCUCAACCGUAAAAUUGCAAUUGAUACUGGCAGUCGUGAGUACAGUUGAGGUAGGCGGAAUUCGUGGUGUAGCGGUGAAAUGCUUAGAGAUCACGAAGAACCCCGAUUGCGAAGGCAGCUUACUAAACUGUGACUGACAUUGAUGCUCGAAAGUGUGGGUAUCAAACAGGAUUAGAUACCCGGGUAGUC
rnacentral:rRNA from 1 species